rnacentral:lncRNA from 1 species
UUGGGGACUGGAGCGGCGUCGACGGGGAGUGGCUGGGCCGCAAGAUUUUCCCCUUCCACCGCGAGAGAUUCCUGUGCUUGCAUGUUCUUAGCCGUUUCCAAAUCUUUGAGGGAUUCAACUGAUUUGCUGGAUGCCCAAACUUUGCUUCGUUUCCAAACUGAGUUGGUUUCUUUCAGACCAUAAGGCCACCAGGUAUGUGUCACUUUUUUCCAAAUUUGUUCGUUUCCUAUUCAAUCUUUUCUCUGUAUAGAUGUGUUGAGAGAUGUAUCUACUUGGAUCUGUGCUUAUCAAUAGAGAUAAAGCUUAAUAGGAGUAAAGAAUGGUGGUUCCUGAUGUAUUUGGCUUUGGUUUGUACUGAAGAAAUAAUCGUUUUUUGUACAGUUAGACAAUUUUGUGCUGAACAAUGGCAUGUUGAGCCAGUGGCGAAGCGUGAGAUACAACAAGAGUGGGUCAUUUAAAAAAAAAAGCAAAAUUUGCAUGCAGACAUGUACAGCUCAUAACAUAAGUUAAAGCAAAUUAUGCAUGUUAGACCACAGAUUAAUCACGAAAAAUGGACAGUACUUCACCAUUCUUACCUGAAAUUAAUAUUCAGAAAGCAUACAGAAUUGUAUCAGUUAAGUCAUGAAGGGGCAUCGGAAUUAUAGGAACGUGCUUGUACAUAGUACAUAUGUAUGUAUUCCAGUAAAUUAGCUAGCCCUAUCAAAAUGUAGUAAUAUUUAUUAUCAAAAUUCAUGGAUGCCUCAAUUGCAGCUAGCCCUAUCAUUACAUAAAUUUGUGCAUUCUCUUAUGUUUGCUUACACCAUACAGGCGAUAAUGGAAUCUGAAGUUGAGGUGAAUACUGUUAUACCAUUGCAGACCCAUGACAUGCAGUCUGAUGCAGAAUCAACUACUCGAGUUAAUCCACGUCUCGAUAUAGGGUUUUUCACACCAACAAAAUCCACAAGCAUCCCCACAUGUGUACGUACAUUUGAAUUAUUAAAUUUUUUCGGUUCUUGGAAGUUCCUUUGGAUCACCCCACUGACAUGAGAUUCUCAUGCACAAGGCAGGAUUCAUUCUACACACCAGAUUGUGAUGAAUCCAUAACUCCAACUAUUGGGAUGUAUUUUUCUGAUGUGAACACAGCAAAGGGGUUCUAUG